rnacentral:rRNA from 1 species
CUACGCACUCCUACGGGGAGGCAGCAGGUGGGGAAUAUUGCACAAUGGGGCGCAAGCCUGAUGCAGCCAUGCCGCGUGUAUGAAGAAGGCCUUCGGGUUGUAAAGUAUUUCAGCAGUGAGGAAGGUGGAUAUGUUAAUAGCAUAUUCAUUUGACGUUAGCUGCAGAAGAAGCACCGGCUAACUCCGUGCCAGCAGCCGCGGUAAUACGGAGGGGUGCGAGCGUUAAUCGGAAUUACUGGGCGUAAAAGCGCAUGCAGGUGGUUUGUUAAGUCAGAUGUGAAAGCCCGGGGCUCAACCUCGGAAUUGCAUUUGAAACUGGCAAACUAGAGUACUGUAGAGGGGGUAGGAAUUUCAGGUGUAGCGGUGAAAUGCGUAGAGAUCUGAAGGAAUACCGGUGGCGAAGGCGGCCCCCUCGGACAGAUACUGACACUCAGAUGCGAAAGCGUGGGGAGGCAAACAGGAUUAGAUACCCUGGUAG